rnacentral:rRNA from 1 species
UGGGGAAUAUUGGACAAUGGAGGGAACUCUGAUCCAGCAAUUCUGUGUGUGUGAAGAAGGUUUUAGGACUGUAAAACACUUUUAGUAGGGAAGAAAAAAAUGACGGUACCUACAGAAGAAGCAACGGCUAAAUACGUGCCAGCAGCCGCGGUAAUACGUAUGUUGCGAGCGUUAUCCGGAAUUAUUGGGCUUAAAGGGCAUCUAGGCAGUAAGACAAGUUGAAGGUGAAAACCUGUGGCUCAACCAUAGGCUUGCCUACAAAACUGUUGAACUAGAGUACUGGAAAGGUGGGUGGAACUACACGAGUAGAGGUGAAAUUCGUAGAUAUGUGUAGGAAUGCCGAUGAUGAAGAUAACUCACUGGACAGAAACUGACGCUGAAGUGCGAAAGCUAGGGGAGCAAACAGG